rnacentral:rRNA from 1 species
GACGAACGCUGGCGGCGUGCCUAAUACAUGCAAGUAGAACGCACAGUUUAUACCGUAGCUUGCUACACCAUAGACUGUGAGUUGCGAACGGGUGAGUAACGCGUAGGUAACCUGCCUGGUAGCGGGGGAUAACUAUUGGAAACGAUAGCUAAUACCGCAUAAUAUUGAUUAUUGCAUGAUAAUUGAUUGAAAGAUGCUAUUGCAUCACUACCAGAUGGACCUGCGUUGUAUUAGCUAGUAGGUGAGGUAACGGCUCACCUAGGCGACGAUACAUAGCCGACCUGGGAGGGUGAAUGGCCAAACUGGGAACUAGAAAAGGCCCAGACUCCUACGGGAGGCAGCAGUAGGGAAUCUUCGGCCAUGGACGAAAGUCUGACCGAGCCACGCCGCGUGAGUGAAGAAGGUUUUCGGAUCGUAAAGCUCUGUUGUAAGAGAAGAACGGGUGUGAGAGUGGAAAGUUCACAUUGUGACGGUAUCUUACCAGAAAGGGACGGCUAACUACGUG